rnacentral:rRNA from 1 species
UACAGAGGUCCCAAGCGUUGUUCGGAUUCACUGGGCGUAAAGGGUGCGUAGGUGGCUACUUUAAGUUUGAUGUGAAAGCUCCGGGCUCAACCCGGAAAUGGCAUUGAAGACUAUUGAGCUAGAGGUUUGGAGGGGGGACUGGAAUGCUUGGUGUAGCAGUGAAAUGCGUAGAUAUCAAGCGGAACACCGGUGGCGGAGGCGAGUCCCUGGACAACACCUGACACUGAGGCACGAAAGCUAGGGGAGCAAACAGG